rnacentral:rRNA from 1 species
CCUACGGGGGGCUGCAGUGGGGAAUAUUGGACAAUGGGGGGGAACCCUGAUCCAGCCAUGCCGCGUGUGUGAAGAAGGCCCUCGGGUUGUAAAGCACUUUCAGUGAGGAAGAACGCCUGGUGGUUAAUACCCAUCAGGAAAGACAUCACUCACAGAAGAAGCACCGGCUAACUCCGUGCCAGCAGCCGCGGUAAUACGGAGGGUGCGAGCGUUAAUCGGAAUUACUGGGCGUAAAGCGCGCGUAGGUGGCUUGAUAAGCCGGUUGUGAAAGCCCCGGGCUCAACCUGGGAACGGCAUCCGGAACUGUCAAGCUAGAGUGCAGGAGAGGAAGGUAGAAUUCCCGGUGUAGCGGUGAAAUGCGUAGAGAUCGGGAGGAAUACCAGUGGCGAAGGCGGCCUUCUGGACUGACACUGACACUGAGGUGCGAAAGCGUGGGUAGCAAACAGGAUUAGAUACCCGGGUAGUC